GGGGGUAUAGCUCAGUGGUAGAGCACAUGUUUAGCAUGCAUGAGGUGCUGGGUUCAAUCCCCAGUAUCUCCU
rnacentral:tRNA from 1 species